GGGGGUGUUCCGGUUUCGAUUUUGUAAAUGGAAUAAAAACGGCAUGUCGGAGAAGAUGGUUGGCUUCGUUAUCAAUCCAUCGCAACAAUAAGUGAAAACAAUGUUGUAAAAUUCCCAGGCGCAUCCUUACGGAUGGCUGCCUAGGCCUUAAUGAAUUGUAAGUUAUACAGUUCUGCUUUUAAAAUCCAUGCUCGCUAGAUUUUAAAAGCUGUCUCAGCGAGUAUAGCAAAGAAGCGUUGCAGGUCUGUGCUGUAUUUUUUGCAACUUACACUGCAAAACAGGUAUCUAUGGCAUUGCAGUGGACAUUAAUGAGAUACUAUACAUGUAGAAGUUUUUGUGGCAUGUGCAAAAGACGCGAGUUCAAUUCUCGCCACCUCCACCA
rnacentral:tmRNA from 1 species